CUCCUCAUGGCAAAGGUCUUGCUCGCCGUUGGUUGUAACAUCAUCGCCUCCUAGACAGGUUUGUCUGAUUCGAGAGGUGUCGUCGUCUGAGAGAUGCUUGUGGAGUGCAUGGGGGAGGCGCACAUGGUUGAUGAUUAUGUUCUAGGUUGGCCAUUGAGAGGGACGCCCAAGCAAACUCCGUCAGGUUUCAGGUGCACGCUCUCUAUCCCUGUUUUUGUCUCUGCAGCUAAACUUGAGAAUCGUACACUCU